GACGAAGGGGGCUAGCGUUGCUCGGAUUGACUGGGCGUAAAGGGCGCGCAGGCGGUCCUUCAAGUCAGAUGUGAAAGCCCCGGGCUCAACCUGGGAACUGCAUUUGAGACUGGAGGACUUGAGGACGGGAGAGGAGAGUGGAAUUCCCAGUGUAGAGGUGAAAUUCGUAGAUAUUGGGAAGAACACCGAUGGCGAAGGCAGCUCUCUGGACCGUUACUGACGCUGAGGCGCGAAAGCGUGGGGAGCAAACAGG
rnacentral:rRNA from 1 species